UACGUAGGGAGCAAGCGUUGUCCGGAAUCAUUGGGCGUAAAGCGCGCGUAGGUGGCCCGGUAAGUCCGCUCUGAAAGUCACAUGCUCAACCUGUGAAAGCGGGUGGAUACUGCCGGGCUAGAGUCCGGAAGAGGCGAGUGGAAUUCCUGGUGUAGCGGUGGAAUGCGCAGAUAUCAGGAGGAACACCAACGGCGAAGGCAGCUCGCUGGGACGGUACUGACACUGAGGCGCGAAAGCGUGGGGAGCAAACAGG
rnacentral:rRNA from 1 species